UGGGGAAUAUUGGACAAUGGGGGGAACCCUGAUCCAGCCAUGCCGCGUGUGUGAAGAAGGCCUUAUGGUUGUAAAGCACUUUAAGCGAGGAGGAGGGUACUGGUAUUAAUACUACCAGGUACUGGACGUUACUCGCAGAAUAAGCACCGGCUAACUCUGUGCCAGCAGCCGCGGUAAUACAGAGGGUGCGAGCGUUAAUCGGAUUUACUGGGCGUAAAGCGUGCGUAGGCGGCUAAUUGAGUCGGAUGUGAAAUCCCCGAGCUUAACUUGGGAAUUGCAUUCGAUACUGGUUAGCUAGAGUGUGGGAGAGGAUGGUAGAAUUCCAGGUGUAGCGGUGAAAUGCGUAGAGAUCUGGAGGAAUACCGAUGGCGAAGGCAGCCAUCUGGCCUAACACUGACGCUGAGGUACGAAAGCAUGGGCAGCAAACAGG
rnacentral:rRNA from 1 species